GACGAACGCUGGCGGCGUGCUUAACACAUGCAAGUCGAACGGAAAGGCCCUGCUUUUGUGGGGUGCUCGAGUGGCGAACGGGUGAGUAACACGUGAGUAACCUGCCCUUGACUUUGGGAUAACUUCAGGAAACUGGGGCUAAUACCGGAUAGGAGCUCCUGCUGCAUGGUGGGGGUUGGAAAGUUUCGGCGGUUGGGGAUGGACUCGCGGCUUAUCAGCUUGUUGGUGGGGUAGUGGCUUACCAAGGCUUUGACGGGUAGCCGGCCUGAGAGGGUGACCGGCCACAUUGGGACUGAGAUACGGCCCAGACUCCUACGGGAGGCAGCAGUGGGGAAUAUUGCACAAUGGGCGGAAGCCUGAUGCAGCAACACCGCGUGCGGGAUGACGGCCUUCGGGUUGUAAACCGCUUUCGCCUGUGACGAAGCGUGAGUGACGGUAAUGGGUAAAGAAGCACCGGCUAACUACGUGCCAGCAGCCGCGGUGAUACGUAGGGUGCGAGCGUUGUCCGGAUUUAUUGGGCGUAAAGGGCUCGUAGGUGGUUGAUCGCGUCGGAAGUGUAAUCUUGGGGCUUAACCCUGAGCGUGCUUUCGAUACGGGUUGACUUGAGGAAGGUAGGGGAGAAUGGAAUUCCUGGUGGAGCGGUGGAAUGCGCAGAUAUCAGGAGGAACACCAGUGGCGAAGGCGGUUCUCUGGGCCUUUCCUGACGCUGAGGAGCGAAAGCGUGGGGAGCGAACAGGCUUAGAUACCCUGGUAGUCCACGCUGUAAACGGUGGGUACUAGGUGUGGGGUCCAUUCCACGGGUUCCGUGCCGUAGCUAACGCUUUAAGUACCCCGCCUGGGGAGUACGGCCGCAAGGCUAAAACUCAAAGGAAUUGACGGGGCCCCGCACAAGCGGCGGAGCAUGCGGAUUAAUUCGAUGCAACGCGUAGAACCUUACCUGGGUUUGACAUGGAUCGGGAGUGCUCAGAGAUGGGUGUGCCUCUUUUGGGGUCGGUUCACAGGUGGUGCAUGGCUGUCGUCAGCUCGUGUCGUGAGAUGUUGGGUUAAGUCCCGCAACGAGCGCAACCCUUGUUCACUGUUGCCAGCACGUUAUGGUGGGGACUCAGUGGAGACCGCCGGGGUCAACUCGGAGGAAGGUGGGGAUGACGUCAAGUCAUCAUGCCCCUUAUGUCCAGGGCUUCACGCAUGCUACAAUGGCUGGUACAGAGAGUGGCGAGCCUGUGAGGGUGAGCGAAUCUCGGAAAGCCGGUCUCAGUUCGGAUUGGGGUCUGCAACUCGACCUCAUGAAGUCGGAGUCGCUAGUCAUCGCAGAUCAGCAACGCUGCGGUGAAUACGUUCCCGGGGCU
rnacentral:rRNA from 1 species